rnacentral:rRNA from 1 species
CCUACGGGUGGCAGCAGUGAGGAAUAUUGGUCAAUGGGCGGGAGCCUGAACCAGCCAAGUCGCGUGAGGGAAGACGGUCCUAUGGAUCGUAAACCUCUUUAGCCGGGGAGCAAUGCCGGGCACGCGUGCCCGGCGGGAGAGUACCCGCAGAAUAAGCAUCGGCUAACUCCGUGCCAGCAGCCGCGGUAAUACGGAGGAUGCGAGCGUUAUCCGGAUUUAUUGGGUUUAAAGGGUGCGUAGGCGGAUUUUUAAGUCAGCGGUAAAAUGUCCGGGCUCAACCCGGGCCGGCCGUUGAAACUGGGGGUCUUGAGUGGGCGAGAAGAAUGCGGAAUGCGUGGUGUAGCGGUGAAAUGCAUAGAUAUCACGCAGAACUCCGAUUGCGAAGGCAGCAUACCGGCGCCCGACUGACGCUGAGGCACGAAAGCGUGGGGAUCGAACAGGAUUAGAUACCCGAGUAGUC